rnacentral:lncRNA from 1 species
GUAACAAUUCAACAGGUUGCCAGUUCCUAGAUAAUUUACCUUUAAUAUUGUGUAAUGAACAUUUCUGCAAGAGAAGUUUGUCAUUUAUGAAUCAUUAGAAUAUUAAAUGUUGUAUCAAACAGCAGCUUUUGUUGUCAGAAGCACUGAGGUCGUCCCAAUGAAAAGAGAUUAUUUCAUAACAAGAAAAGUUUAAAUAACUCUGAUAAUGUUGCUCAGGAUGAUACGACAUUAUCACAGUAAAAUAUGAAGACAGAACUUUUGUUGUUUAGCUGUGAGGAGUUUUUGUCUGCAGGCAGAAACCCUGAGCUGCCUCCUCCUGCAGCUGUCAGAGGUUUUUGUACGAGGGUUUUUCACCGUGAUGGGGUGGACCACAGUGACUGAGCCUCCGCACAGAGCUGAACAAAAACCUCCAGUCUCCUCUAAACCGUCUGUUUCAGUCAGGAAACAUCCAGAAUCAACAAAUAACCAGCAGAACACAGCUGUGUUUCAGCUCAGUGUCUGUCGACGUAAAGUGGAUUUUAAUCAUUUUUGAGCUUCUCUGAUGAAAAUGAGCAUCGUGAGGUUUUUGUAUGGGGAUGUAACACUGUGAUGCUUUAAUAUUUGGGAAAGCCACCAGACUCACCGUCAUACCUAAAGAUACGACUCCUGUUGCUCCGACCCUGUUCGUCCUGAGUCCUCUUCACCCAGAGGGGGUGCCGUUGAGCGAGCUGGCUGACGAGGUCUGCCUGGCCACUAAUUUCCGUCCACAGGGAGAGGACAUGGUUCUGAAUGUGCGUAAGAAGCGUCAGAUUAAUUAUAACACCAGCAACGCCGUCAUCUCCGAGGAAGAGAAGGGCUACUACUACGCUGGAUUCGCCAACGAGACGAUCUACUCCUGUGAGCUCAACGGCACGUCAUCCAACAACGAGAACAUCGACCUCUGCGCUGACCUCCAUCCAGAGAAAGCCAAGCUGAACCUGUACCUGCUGCUGAUGAACGGGGUGCGGGUGGUGUUCACCAAAGUUCUGGCCUUCAGCACCAUCUUCACCAUCCGAGCCGUGCUCCCGUAGACGUGUUUGUCCUUCACAGGCUCCCGUAGACGUGUUUGUCCUUCACAGGCUCCCGUAGACGUGUUUGUUCUUCACAGGCUCCUGUAGAAACCUGCCUGCACACCUGAAAACAACAUAGAGCAUCAUGGAGGCGCAGAGCUGUUUCAGUGUGUUGUCAUAUAAUCUGCUUUCUACUGUAUAAUAUCUGCUGCCAAAUAUACUGAAUAUCUUCUGUCAGUUUUUUUUUUUAUUUGAAAAUGUAUCUGAGUGUUUCUGUGACUCGUGUUUCUCGACUGAUCGAUCUGACGUCAGUGUGACGGCGUUAACUUUGUGCCUGUUCUGCUUCUAAUAAAGUUCAGCAGCUCUGAUUCAGUUUCAGUCUUCAGUCUGUGAUUUCUGUGAGUUUGUGAGUUUGUGAGCAGGACGGUGAAGCAGCUGACGUCUGGUUCUUAACUGCCAUCAUGAUUAAAUCACUGAAACUGAAACUGUGACAAACAGCAAGAAAAGUCACAAGAUUGAAAUUAAGUGCAUCAAAAUCAAUAAAUCAACAAAAUGGAAUGAUGUAUAAGUAUUUCUCCAGGUCAGGUUUUGUUUCGCUGCCACACUUUAUUUUCAUUUUAUUUCAUUUGAUCUAUUUUUUUAAUUCGAUACAAGCAAACACAAAUUGUUACGUGACUGUUUAAUGACAGAAUUAAAUCUUCACAACAAAAACAGAAGAAACAACAAAGUGUGUCAAAGAAGGAAACAACUUAAAAUACAUCAAAUCAAAUGUGCAAAUGUUUCAUCCAGAAUUUCAACAUAAUGUUUGUUUGUGAAUUUAAAAUGUCGACUGAGCGGAUAGAGACACGUGUGUGUGUGUGUGUGUGUGUGUGUGUGUGUGUGAGUGUUUGUGUGUGUGUGUGUGCGUGUGCAGCAGUUCACAGUUGAAACCACAGUUCAACAGUCGGAGCUGAAGCUGCAGAUACGAUCAGACAGGAAGCAGCUCUGUGUCUCACUGCUGGCUUAAAGUUUUAC